UUUUCCCCUCCCUCUUCCUCACUCUCCCUUACCAGUGUCCUCCAUCACUCUGUUCUCCCCCAUUCUGUCUCCUUGAGAUUCAGACUAGGCCCUUUUCCACUGAAAACUGGAACUGCUGUAUGUGGAUCACUUCACUCCUUGCCCUGGACGAAGCAGAUAAAAGACAGAGCAACAAGAAGGAAAAAGAAGCCACACCCACUUGGAGACAGAUACUAAGUCUUGACUCGGCCACCUCAGCUUGAAAAGUCACAUGGAAGCCAAAGCAAAGAGUGGGGCCCCGAAGCCCAGCUCCAAGGCAGAGAAGAAGGAGCCUGCAGCCCCCAAGCCCGAUGCUGCCCCACUUGCUGCCCCUGUUGAGCCAGUGGCCCCUACUGAGCCAGAGAAGCCAGCAGAGGAGACGGCGGCUGAUGAGGGAGCAGCGGAAGGAGCUGAGGCCGCAGAUGCCUGUACCCUAGAGAGCCUAAAGCCCUUCCUCAUUGGUGGAGCUGUCAUUGCCCUUGGGGCAAUCCUGGUUGGGGUGAUUUUAUUGGCAAAGAAGAAUUGACCUGCUUUCUACUGCAGGUUGAGGGGUGAAUGGGUAUACUAAUGAUCUGUUCAUAGACUAUCAUAGAGUUGGUGUUUAUAUUUAAGGGGGGUGGGAAGUCACUGCGCUUCUUAAUUUCAGCACGGUUCUGAUUUUGUGCUUAGCAAUGAAAUUAACAAUAAUAAACCUAGAAAGGGUCCAUUUGGACAUACUUAUGUUUUAUUGAUGAUCAGUUCACUGAUGUAGACACCUGCAGUCUCCCAACCUACACAACCUGUCAAAGCAAUGCAUGUGGUGACAUACAUCCAUUGACACAACAACGAAUGCAACACUAGUUAACGAUAGACUAUCCCAACCCUGCUCAAGGAGCGAUUUACUACUGGCCAAAGCUGAACACUCAAUUCUUAAUUUCAAACAAAAACAAUUUAUAACAUGGCAAAGUUAAGUUUACUUGCCAAUAUCCAUUUACAAUUUAUUGGUUACUUGGCUGCAACGUUACAGCAUUACUUGUCACAACUUCUCCACAAACACAUUCCAUUCUUACAAUUAAAUUUAAAGUCAUAACUCCUCUGAUAUAAAUGCUACUUCCAGUCAUUCAUCCAUUCCACAAUCACAUAGUGUCAUGAGUCAAUAGUUGGGGUUGACAUAGUCAAAUCAUGAAAAGGCUUUAUGUGACCUUGCGUCUUCAAUACAAAGCAUUUAACAGAGCAUUUAAUAUCAUUUCUAUAUAUUGUUUGGAAAACAAAGCACCUCAGUGCUGAAGUCUAAUUUGGUGGUGAAGUUAUGAUACAUAUCUUAACAAAUUAGCUUUAUUUGUGACUCAUAACUACAUAAACACUAAAAAGUUUAAAAAGUUAAACACUACACAAUCCUCUGGGCAUAAUAUCAGUUAGAAGUGGCAUUAGGUGCGUACAGACGCAAGGCUGUGAAGGGUCGAAAUGUCUAUGGGCAAGAAUUGUUUCCAGAACGAGUGUUAUUUCAAAUAUUUAAACUGUGAAAGAAAGGCAGUUCAUAAUAUAUUCUCUUUCAGCAUAACUGUGCCAAGAUAUUUUGUGUGGUGUGUAAGUUAUGGAAAUCAAAGGCAAGACUAUUUUGUGAGUUACCCUCAGUCCCACAGUGCUAAAGAGGUCUUGUAAAUAAUUUAUAUUUUAUUAGUUGAAAGCAUAUCUUUAUGUAUAUGAAGAACACUUGAGAUAUAACUAAUUUCAUUCAUGUGAGCACUGAAAGAUAUUGAUCCCAUACAUUUACAGUUUCAAUUGAUUUAAGAUUUCUCUUAUUCAAAAAUGACCAACUUUACAAUAUGUGGCCUAAAGGCGCAUGAAUCCAUAAAAUCCAUAUAUGCAUUGUGUUUUCUUGUGUUUGUAUAAAAAUAACAUGCACUUAUAUGUAUAGCUCAUGUACAUAGAUGAAAGUUAUUCUGUGUUUUUUUCUCUAUGUUUACCACAAGGUGAUGUCACAUCAAAGCAGAGUUUCUCCAACUAUACGAUACACUGAAGCAAAUAUUCUAAAGUAGAUCUGGCUUGCUUGCUGACUCAUAGACUGUAUUCAUUAUGUUCAGACACACGUUCAGACAUUUAGAAAUGCAGGAGUGCACAAAAUGCAAUGGGGUCCACAAAAUAAAACAUUCCUGGACUUUAGAAUGGCCAGAAAAAUGUUAAUGCAAUGUUGAAGGCAUAGAGUUUCGUAUCUGUGUAUGCAUCUUGUUCUUCUGUUUUGAGUGUUGUAGCCUAUUGCAAUUGUCAAAUGUAAAACAAGAUACACAGAAUGCACAGGAAAGCUUACAACCUCUUUUCCCGGUCCUUCAAAUGAUAUCACUGUUGAGUCAAGAAGCACUUUUAUUAUUUGACCAAACCUACAAGCUGCCUUUUUAAUUAUGUUCAUGUUAUGUUUUCCGGUUAUGUUAUAGGCCAGAUGUCAUGAUUUUACUACCAUUUAAAUCAGAACUGAAAUUGGUCACCAUCCUUUGGUCAUCCUAAGGAUUUGAAGAACUCCUUAUCCCCCUGCAGUUACAUGUCGUUUAUGACCACUGCAUCAAAGGUUUAUACGCAAAUGCAUUAAGGAGAACUAGCCCAAAAAUACCCACACAAAUCACUUAACCUAUGACACUGAUCAUUUUAUUUAGGCUUUCUUUUUCUCUCAAGAGCGUAUAAAUGCAAUAAUUCCUAAAUACUUUUUCUUUCUGACAUUUCUUUGCAGAUAAGAUGAUGAUGAUGAUGAUGAUGAUGAUGAUGAUGAUGAUGAUGAUUAUGACUGAAAUCAGAUGAAUAGCCUAACUUUUCUGUCAAUAACUAGCCUACAGUGGUGAUUGCAAUAUUUGUGGUGGUACUGAACUGAGUUCGACUGUGAUGAUAAAUCAAGAAUGGUGGUCAUAGAGGCCUUUUAUUUUUUAUUACACUGUAGCCUCUCUUUGCUCUCCUGCCCUCUUCCAACUCACACUUAAUAAAGUGGCUCUAAUGGCUUGUCCUUUAUUAAAGACAAAUGAAACA